CCUACGGGCGGCAGCAGUGAGGAAUAUUGGUCAAUGGACGAGAGUCUGAACCAGCCAAGUAGCGUGAAGGAUGACUGCCCUAUGGGUUGUAAACUUCUUUUAUAAAGGAAUAAAACGAGGCACGUGUGCCUUUUUGCAUGUACUUUAUGAAUAAGGAUCGGCUAACUCCGUGCCAGCAGCCGCGGUAAUACGGAGGGUCCGAGCGUUAUCCGGAUUUAUUGGGUUUAAAGGGAGCGUAGAUGGGUUGUUAAGUCAGUUGUGAAAGUUUGCGGCUCAACCGUAAAAUUGCAGUUCAUACUGGGAGUCUUGAGUACAGUUGAGGUAAGCGGAAUUCGUGGUGUAGCGGUGAAAUGCUUAGAUAUCACGAAGAACCCCGAUUGCGAAGGCAGCUUACUAAACUGUGACUGACAUUGAUGCUCGAAAGUGUGGGUAUCAAACAGGAUUAGAUACCCCAGUAGUC
rnacentral:rRNA from 1 species